rnacentral:rRNA from 1 species
AUUGAACGCUGGCGGCAUGCUUUACACAUGCAAGUCGAACGGUAACAGGGAGCUUGCUCCGCUGACGAGUGGCGAACGGGUGAGUAAUGCAUCGGAACGUACCCAGUCGUGGGGGAUAACGUAGCGAAAGUUACGCUAAUACCGCAUACGUCCUGAGGGAGAAAGCGGGGGACCGUAAGGCCUCGCGCGAUUGGAGCGGCCGAUGUCGGAUUAGCUAGUUGGUGGGGUAAAGGCUCACCAAGGCGACGAUCUGUAGCGGGUCUGAGAGGAUGAUCCGCCACACUGGAACUGAGACACGGUCCAGACUCCUACGGGAGGCAGCAGUGGGGAAUUUUGGACAAUGGGCGCAAGCCUGAUCCAGCCAUGCCGCGUGAGUGAAGAAGGCCUCGG